GACGAACGCUGGCGGCGUGCUUAACACAUGCAAGUCGAACGGUGAAAGCGGAGCUUGCUCCGCUGGAUCAGUGGCGAACGGGUGAGUAACGCGUGGGCAACCUGCCCCUCACUUCGGAAUAACUCCGGGAAACCGGGGCUAAUACCGGAUAUGACCUCCUUGGGCAUCCUUGGAGGUGGAAAGUUUUUCGGUGAGGGAUGGGCCCGCGGCCUAUCAGCUUGUUGGUGAGGUAGUGGCUCACCAAGGCGACGACGGGUAGCCGGCCUGAGAGGGCGACCGGCCACACUGGGACUGAGACACGGCCCAGACUCCUACGGGAGGCAGCAGUGGGGAAUAUUGCGCAAUGGGCGAAAGCCUGACGCAGCAACGCCGCGUGCGGGAUGACGGCCUUCGGGUUGUAAACCGCUUUCAGCAGGGAAGAAGCCGCAAGGUGACGGUACCUGCAGAAGAAGCACCGGCUAACUACGUGCCAGCAGCCGCGGUAA
rnacentral:rRNA from 1 species